rnacentral:sRNA from 1 species
GCCAGGUGUAGUGAUGUAUGCCUGUAUUCUCAGCAACUUGGGAGGAUGAGGCAGGAGAAUUGUAUGUUCUAGGCCUCCCUGAGCAACUUAGUGAGGCCCUAGGCAACAUAGUGAGAUGCUGUCUCCA